rnacentral:misc_RNA from 1 species
UCCUGACAGACUUAAAUAUCCCAUGAAGCGCGUAGGAAAACGCGGUGAAGGAAAAUUUGAGCGAAUUUCCUGGGAUGAAGCGACAACCUUAAUCGCCGAUAAUUUAAAAUCGAUUACUGAAAAAUAUGGCCCGGCUUCGCGCUAUGUUCAUGUUGGUACCGCCGUUUCCGGCGGCACCUUUUCCGGCGAUAAAAUGGCGCGUCGCCUGUUGAAUCUGACCGGCGGAUAUCUCGAAAGCUACCAUUCUGUGAGUAUGGGCAACACGGCGGCCGCGACGCCUUAUACUUACGGCAUUGCCGCCAGCGGCAGUUCACUGGAUACGCUUUUGGAGACCAAACUGGUGAUUCUGUGGGGCCAUAACCCGACGGAGACCAUUUUUGGUCAUACCAACUAUUUCUUGCAGAAGAUGAAGCAGAACGGUACGCGGUUUAUCGUGGUCGAUCCGCGCUAUUC